rnacentral:rRNA from 1 species
GACGAACGCUGGCGGCGUGCUUAACACAUGCAAGUCGAACGGAAAGGCCCUGCUUUUGUGGGGUGCUCGAGUGGCGAACGGGUGAGUAACACGUGAGUAACCUGCCCUUGACUUUGGGAUAACUUCAGGAAACUGGGGCUAAUACCGGAUAGGAGCUCCUGCUGCAUGGUGGGGGUUGGAAAGUUUCGGCGGUUGGGGAUGGACUCGCGGCUUAUCAGCUUGUUGGUGGGGUAGUGGCUUACCAAGGCUUUGACGGGUAGCCGGCCUGAGAGGGUGACCGGCCACAUUGGGACUGAGAGACGGCCCAGACUCCUACGGGAGGCAGCAGUGGGGAAUAUUGCACAAUGGGCGGAAGCCUGAUGCAGCAACGCCGCGUGCGGAUGACGGCCUUCGGGUUGUAAACCGCUUUCGCCUGUGACGAAGCGUGAGUGACGGUAAUGGGUAAAGAAGCACCGGCUAACUACGUG